rnacentral:rRNA from 1 species
UGGGGAAUAUUGCACAAUGGGCGAAAGCCUGAUGCAGCGACGCCGCGUGGGGGAUGAAGCCUGGUGUAACCCUUCAGCAGGAAGAAGCGAAAGUGACGGUACCUGCAGAAGAAGCGCCGGCUAACUACGUGCCAC